CAAUAGCGUAUAUUAAAGUUGUUGCAGUUAGAACGCUCGUAGUCGGAUUUCGGGGCGGGCCGACCGGUCUGCCGAUGGGUACGCACUGGUCGGCGCGUCCUUCCUUCCGGAGACCGUGCCUACUCUUAACUGAGCGGGGGCGGGAGACGGAUCGUUUACUUUGAAAAAAUCAGAGUGUUUCAAGCAGGCAGCUCGCUCUUGCAUGGAUUAGCAUGGGAUAAUGAAAUAGGACUUUGGUGCUAUUUUGUUGGUUUCGAACACCGAAGUAAUGAUUAACAGGGACAGUCAGGGGCACUCGUAUUCCGCCGAGAGAGGUGAAAUUCCCAGACCAGCGGAAGACGAACUACUGCGAAAGCAUUUGCCAGGGAUGUUUUCACUGA
rnacentral:rRNA from 1 species